AGACUCGCUGCUCCAGGCCCUCGCCUGCUUGCCCACAGGACUCCGGCUAUGUCAUCGCCCUGCGCAGCUACAUCACUGACAACUGCAGCCUCCUCAGCUUCCACCGUGGGGACCUCAUCAAGGUGCUGCCGGUGGCCACCUUGGAGCCAGGCUGGCAGUUUGGCUCUGCCGGGGGCCGUUCCGGACUCUUUCCUGCCGACAUAGUGCAGCCGGCUGCCGCUCCUGACUUUUCCUUCUCCAAGGAGCAGAGGAGUGGCUGGCACAAGGGUCAGCUGUCCAACGGGGAACCAGGGCUGGCUCGGUGGGACAGGGCCUCAGAGCGCCCUGCCCACCCUUGGAGCCAGGCACACAGUGACGACUCGGAGGCCACCAGCCUGUCCUCUGUGGCCUAUGCCUUUCUGCCCGACUCCCACAGCUACACCAUGCAGGAAUUCGCCCUGCGUUACUUCCGGAGGUCCCAAGCCUUGCUGGGCCAGACUGAUGGAGGUGCCACA
rnacentral:sRNA from 1 species